rnacentral:rRNA from 1 species
CCUACGGGAUGCUGCAGUAGGGAAUUUUCGUCAAUGGGCGCAAGCCUGAACGAGCAAUGCCGCGUGCACGAGGAAGGUCUUCGGAUCGUAAAGUUCUGUUGAAGGGGAGAAAGAGCGGAGAGAGGUAAUGCUUUCUGAUUGAUAUUACCCUUCGAGGAGGUCACGGCUAACUACGUGCCAGCAGCCGCGGCAAUACGUAGGUGGCGAGCGUUAUCCGGAAUGAGUGGGCGUAAAGGGUGCGUAGGCGGCUUGCUACGUCUGGAGUGAAAGGUACCGGCUCAACCGGUACAGGAUCUGGAAACUGGCGGGGUAGAGAGCAGGAGAGGGCGGUGGAACUCUAUGUGUAGCGGUAAAAUGCGUAGAUAUAUGGAAGAACAUCAGUGGCGAAGGCGGCGGCAUGGCCUGUGAACUGACGCUGAGGCACGAAAGCGUGGGGAGCAAAUAGGAUUAGAUACCCGGGUAGUC